UCCCAGUGACGAGUUGCCAUGCUGAUACUGAGAGGGCAUCAUUGCCCUCGUUUGGGUGCCAGUGAGUUUAACAAAACUUCUCCAUGGAGACCUGAAGGAC
ensembl:snoRNA SNORD8 small nucleolar RNA, C/D box 8